AAGAGAUUAGUCUCUUUCUGGGGUAGGAAGUGGUGGGAACUGAUGGAUGGAUGUAAGUGAAUGAUGGUGUCAUUAUCACUGAAACUACGUUGGAGUUUGGAGUUUAGAAGAGGUGGUAAGUAAUUUUGAAUUCCAAGGAUAUAUCGUAUCAGGGAUGUCAUAUCUAGGCUUAGAUUGUAUCUCUCUCUCUCUCUCUCUCUCUCUGUACUUUUGCACAUUUUAUUAAUGGGUUUAUUCCUGUUUCCUGACAAGGUUA
rnacentral:lncRNA from 1 species